AUGAAAAAAAAAAAUUAAAAAUACAGGUAGAUGAUGUCACAACCCAAACAUUAUCAUGAAAAUAAAGGAAAACGAAUAAAAUGUGAAAUUUUCAUAUUUUUGGUAACCGAACAUCUAAAUAUCAGCGUAAAUGUUCUUAAAUAAUAAUCAAAUUCAAAUCAUAGGACUAAAAAUCAAUGAAGGAAAUGACACACCAAAAGAAGAAACAGAAAUAUUUCUUUCUAUGAUAUGUAGGUACGUGAUGGAUGUACUACUUACUGGAUAUUUAUAUAACACAAAGAGGAUUGAAAUGCAGCCGGUCGUAAAAUGUAUGCCAGGGAUUUGGCGUAUGUAGUAUGUUAAGUGGAUAUACUUCAAGGAAAAAAGAACAAGAAGCUAGCACGAAUGAUUUUAAGCGAUUAUCGGAGCCCAUAGAUAUCUAAUUUAAGCACGAUUGAAGUCUGUUACAAUUAGAGGUUCCCUUCUUAGCAGAGAUAUCAUAUAAAUGUUAGCAGAGAUAUCAGCACGGCCCCUAUCCAUCGAUGCUUCCAGUACAUAAUAGAUCAAAAUAGGAAUUAGGGCUCUAAACAAAACUUGUUCAAAAAAGAGGUGAUCAUUUUGAAUGAAUGGAAAGCAGUGGAAGUUCAAAGAUAGGAUCACAGUGUUUGCGGAACGGUUUUUAUAGUUAUGAAAAUAAGAAAUCACAAUCAUCCUUGUAAGUCGUUGACAGACGCCACAACGUCACUAACAGUGCUAAUGAAAUACGUGAGAUCCAAAAUGGAUCUCACGAAUACGUGAGAUCCAAAAUCGGAAUGCACAUUGAAGAUCAUUGAAAAAACGAGUUGCAAUAGUGUCUCAAGAUCCUGCUCGUAAAACUCUUUUAUGUGUUCAAUUUAUUUUAUAGCAUCUAAUGAAACUCGGGGAUACUCGCAGGAAUACCAGAAAUUUUGAACGCCUUGUGUUGACCGGUAAAAUCGAGGGAAAAAGUCUCAGGGGUAGAGUCCCAAACGAUGGUCGGACCAAAUAGCGGAGGAACUGAAAAUACUUGUCAGCGACGCACCUGUAGCUUGUCUUGUCUGUACCUUUGGGGAAGGUACCUUUGGGGAAGGUACAGAACGGGAUCGAUGGAGACAGCUAGUCGCACCGAUUGAAGAGAGAGAGAGAGAGAGAAUGAAACUCGAAGCUGAUGAUUAUUUUUUAGUAAGUUGUGAUUUCAUGUUUAUCUUCAAGUAUGUCGUUCAUACCACUGGCAGAUACCUCAAAAUUUGACGUACCUUAAAUAAAACAGAAGCUCACUAACA